GACGAACGCUGGCGGCGUGCCUAAUACAUGCAAGUAGAACGCUGAAGAGAGGAGCUUGCUCUUCUUGGAUGAGUUGCGAACGGGUGAGUAACGCGUAGGUAACCUGCCUUGUAGCGGGGGAUAACUAUUGGAAACGAUAGCUAAUACCGCAUAACAAUGAAUGACACAUGUCAUUUAUUUGAAAGGGGCAAUUGCUCCACUACAAGAUGGACCUGCGUUGUAUUAGCUAGUAGGUGAGGUAAUGGCUCACCUAGGCGACGAUACAUAGCCGACCUGAGAGGGUGAUCGGCCACACUGGGACUGAGACACGGCCCAGACUCCUACGGGAGGCAGCAGUAGGGAAUCUUCGGCAAUGGGGGCAACCCUGACCGAGCAACGCCGCGUGAGUGAAGAAGGUUUUCGGAUCGUAAAGCUCUGUUGUAAGUCAAGAACGGGUGUGAGAGUGGAAAGUUCACACUGUGACGGUAGCUUACCAGAAAGGGACGGCUAACUACGUG
rnacentral:rRNA from 1 species